CGCGAACGGGUGAGUAUCACGUGAGGUGUACAGUGCCCCGAUGACUGGGACAACCCGGGGAAAACCGGGUCUAAUACCGGAUGUGCCCGUCUCUCACACCAGUGUAGACGGGGAAAGGAAGCUUCGGCCUCCGCAUCUGGGAUCGGCCCGUCGGUCCAUUAGCUUGUUGGUGAGGUAAAGGCUCACCAAGGCCGCGAUGGGUAGCUGGUCUGAGAGGACGAUCAGCCACACUGGGACUGAGACACGGCCAGACUCAAUACGGGAGGCAGCAGUGGGGAAUCUUGCGCAAUGCGCGACAGCGUGACGCAGCAACGCCGCGUGGGGGAAGAAGGCCUUCGGGUUGUAAACCCCUUUCAGGAGGGACGAAGCCCGGGCCGUUAAUAGCGGUCCCGGGUGACGGUACCUCCAAAAGAAGCCCCGGUUAACUACGUGC
rnacentral:rRNA from 1 species